UACGAAGGGGGCUAGCGUUGCUCGGAAUCACUGGGCGUAAAGGGCGCGUAGGCGGAUGUCUAAGUUGGGGGUGAAAUCCCGGGGCUCAACCUCGGAACCGCCUUCAAUACUGGGUAUCUUGAGUUCGGGAGAGGUGAGUGGAAUGCCGAGUGUAGAGGUGAAAUUCGUAGAUAUUCGGCGGAACACCAGUGGCGAAGGCGACUCACUGGCCCGAUACUGACGCUGAGGCGCGAAAGCGUGGGGAGCAAACAGG
rnacentral:rRNA from 1 species